rnacentral:rRNA from 1 species
CCUACGGGUGGCAGCAGUGAGGAAUAUUGGUCAAUGGCCGUAAGGCUGAACCAGCCAAGUCGCGUGAAGGAAGAAGGAUCUAUGGUUUGUAAACUUCUUUUAUAGGGGAAUAAAGGUAUCCACGUGUGGAUAUUUGCAUGUACCCUAUGAAUAAGCAUCGGCUAACUCCGUGCCAGCAGCCGCGGUAAUACGGAGGAUGCGAGCGUUAUCCGGAUUUAUUGGGUUUAAAGGGAGCGUAGGUUGUUUUUUAAGUCAGCUGUGAAAGUUUGGGGCUCAACCCUGAAAUUGCAGUUGAAACUGGAAGACUUGAGUGCGUGGGAGGUAGGCGGAAUUCGUGGUGUAGCGGUGAAAUGCAUAGAUAUCACGAAGAACUCCGAUUGCGAAGGCAGCUUACUAAGCCAUAACUGACACUGAAGCUCGAAAGCGUGGGGAUCAAACAGGAUUAGAUACCCGAGUAGUC